rnacentral:rRNA from 1 species
CUACGGGCGGCUGCAGUGGGGAAUAUUGCACAAUGGGCGCAAGCCUGAUGCAGCCAUGCCGCGUGUAUGAAGAAGGCCUUCGGGUUGUAAAGUACUUUCAGCGGGGAGGAAGGGAGUAAAGUUAAUACCUUUGCUCAUUGACGUUACCCGCAGAAGAAGCACCGGCUAACUCCGUGCCAGCAGCCGCGGUAAUACGGAGGGUGCAAGCGUUAAUCGGAAUUACUGGGCGUAAAGCGCACGCAGGCGGUUUGUUAAGUCAGAUGUGAAAUCCCCGGGCUCAACCUGGGAACUGCAUCUGAUACUGGCAAGCUUGAGUCUCGUAGGGGGGUAGAAUUCCAGGUGUAGCGGUGAAAUGCGUAGAGAUCUGGAGGAAUACCGGUGGCGAAGGCGGCCCCCUGGACGAAGACUGACGCUCAGGUGCGAAAGCGUGGGGAGCAAACAGGAUUAGAUACCCGCGUAGUC